GUGGAUGUAUGAGAGCUCUCUUGCCCCAUUUCUGAAAAGAAAUGAAUGGCUGCAGCUGCUAGUUCAUGAAUCCCCUUUGAAGGUGCACUAAGGUUACACCGUGCACAAUGUACCAUUAGAGGGUGAACAUGAACUAAGAGCUCAAGUUUACCUCCAUCUUUUUGGUUUCUUGGAGUGAAGGGAGCUCUUCUGUUCUUCAAU
rnacentral:pre_miRNA from 1 species